GUUGUCUCUCUUGAGUGGAUCCUGAGUACGACGGAGCACGUGAAAUUCCGUCGGAAUCUGGGAGGACCAUCUCCUAAGGCUAAAUACUCUCUAGUGACCGAUAGUGAACCAGUACCGUGAGGGAAAGGUGAAAAGCACCCCGGAAGGGGAGUGAAAUAGAACCUGAAACCGUGUGCUUACAAGUAGUCAGAGCCCGUUAAUGGGUGAUGGCGUGCCUUUUGUAGAAUGAACCGGCGAGUUACGAUUUGAUGCAAGGUUAAGCAGUAAAUGUGGAGCCGUAGCGAAAGCGAGUCUGAAUAGGGCGUUUAGUAUUUGGUCGUAGACCCGAAACCAGGUGAUCUACCCUUGGUCAGGUUGAAGUUCAGGUAACACUGAAUGGAGGACCGAACCGACUUACGUUGAAAAGUGAGCGGAUGAACUGAGGGUAGCGGAGAAAUUCCAAUCGAACCUGGAGAUAGCUGGUUCUCUCCGAAAUAGCUUUAGGGCUAGCCUCAAGUGAUGAUUAUUGGAGGUAGAGCACUGUUUGGACGAGGGGCCCCUCUCGGGUUACCGAAUUCAGACAAACUCCGAAUGCCAAUUAAUUUAACUUGGGAGUCAGAACAUGGGUGAUAAGGUCCGUGUUCGAAAGGGAAACAGCCCAGACCACCAGCUAAGGUCCCAAAAUAUAUGUUAAGUGGAAAAGGAUGUGGCGUUGCCCAGACAACUAGGAUGUUGGCUUAGAAGCAGCCAUCAUUUAAAGAGUGCGUAAUAGCUCACUAGUCGAGUGACACUGCGCCGAAAAUGUACCGGGGCUAAACAUAUUACCGAAGCUGUGGAUUGUCCUUUGGACAAUGGUAGGAGAGCGUUCUAAGGGCGUUGAAGCAUGAUCGUAAGGACAUGUGGAGCGCUUAGAAGUGAGAAUGCCGGUGUGAGUAGCGAAAGACGGGUGAGAAUCCCGUCCACCGAUUGACUAAGGUUUCCAGAGGAAGGCUCGUCCGCUCUGGGUUAGUCGGGUCCUAAGCUGAGGCCGACAGGCGUAGGCGAUGGAUAACAGGUUGAUAUUCCUGUACCACCUAUAAUCGUUUUAAUCGAUGGGGGGACGCAGUAGGAUAGGCGAAGCGUGCGAUUGGAUUGCACGUCUAAGCAGUAAGGCUGAGUAUUAGGCAAAUCCGGUACUCGUUAAGGCUGAGCUGUGAUGGGGAGAAGACAUUGUGUCUUCGAGUCGUUGAUUUCACACUGCCGAGAAAAGCCUCUAGAUAGAAAAUAGGUGCCCGUACCGCAAACCGACACAGGUAGUCAAGAUGAGAAUUCUAAGGUGAGCGAGCGAACUCUCGUUAAGGAACUCGGCAAAAUGACCCCGUAACUUCGGGAGAAGGGGUGCUCUUUAGGGUUAACGCCCAGAAGAGCCGCAGUGAAUAGGCCCAA
rnacentral:rRNA from 1 species